AAGAUUUGUACAAUGAAAACUAUAAAACACUGAUGAAAGAAAUUGGUGGGUGAGAAGAUGGUGGCGGAGGGGGAAGCAGCGUGAGAAGCUGGGGGAGCGUCAACUCAUUGAAAUGGGCCACCAUGGCCCUCCACAACCCGCAGUAUAUUUUUGGAGAUUUUAACCCUGAUGAAUUUAAUCAGUUCUUUGUGACUCCUCGAUCUUCAGUUGAGCUUCUUCCGUACAGUGGAACAGUGCUGUAUGGCACACAGGCUAUGGAUAAACUCCCUGAAGGACAAGAAUACCAGAGGAUUGAAUUUGGUGUUAAUGAAGUAAUUGAACCUAAUGAAUAACACAUUGCAGAGAAACUCCAGCUACAGUAUUUAAAGCACAUUGAACUCUCAGGCCCCUGAAUUUAUUCUCGGUUGUACAACUUCCAAAACUAGCCCUGAUAGCCUAGAUAAGGAAGCCAGCUACAGCUCCAUGGACUGCCAGUACCCAGGCUCUGCCCUGGCUGUGGAGAGCAGUUCUAAUGUGGAGGUGGAAGUUUUGGAAAACGAUGGUAUCUCAGGUGGUCUUAGACAAAGGGAGCGUAAAAAGAAGAAAAAACAGCCACCUGGAUAUUAUAGUUAUUUGAAGGAUGGUGGUGAAGAUAGUAUUUCCCCAGAAGCUCUGGCCAAUGGUCAUGCCAAUUCAGCAGUCCUGAACAGCGUCAGCACAUAGGAUGCAGAAUUUAUGGGUGACAUGCCUCCAUCGGUUACACACAGGACGUGUAACAGCCCUCAGAACUCCACGGACUCCAUCAGUGACAAUCUCCCUGGUGGUCCUUUCCCCAGAGCACUCAGCAGCAACACCAGGACUGCAGAGCAGCCUGAGGGGGUCCACGGGACUGAUUGUGAUCAGUCCUGCUUCCCUGCAGAGGCUGCUAGAGACAACCUGUUGAGGACAGCUGUGGCUCAGCCUUGUGUCGGUACCAAUACUACUGAAAACCUUGGAGUUGCUAAUGGAAAAAUACUUGAAUCCUCGGGUUAGGGCACAGCUGCCAACGAGGUGGAGCUGCACACCACGGAAUGCAUAGACUUGGACCCCACUAAACCCGAGAGCGCUUCACCUGCUGACGGUGCUGGCUCUGCCUCGGGUGCCAUUCCCAUUAGCCAGCCCAAGUCCUGGGCCAGUCUCUUCCACGAUUCUAAGCCUCCUUCCUCUUCGCUCGUGGCGUAUGUGGAAACCAAGUAUUCCCCUCCGUCCACAUCUCCCCUGGUCUCUGAAAAGCGGGUUGAAGUCAAAGAAGGGCUUGUUCCAGUUUCAGAGGAUCCUGUAGCCAUAAAGAUUGCAGAGUUACUGGAGAAUGUAACCUUAAUACAUAAACCAGUGUCAUUGCAACCCCGUGAGCUGAUCAAUAAAGGAAACUGGUGCUACAUUAAUGCUACACUGUAGGCAUUGGUUGCAUGCCCUCUGAUGUAUUGCCUGAUGAAAUUCAUUCCUCUGUAUUCAAAAGUGCAAAAGUCUUGUACGUCAACACGCAUGACAGAUAGCUUUGUUCGGCUAAUGAAUGAGUUUACUAAUAUGCCAGUACCUCCAAAAUCCCGUCAAGCUCUUGGGGAUAAAAUCGUGACGGACAUCCGCCCUGAAGCUGCCUUUGCACCCACGUAUAUCUACAGACUCCUGACUGUUAACAAGUCAAGCCUCUCUGAAAAGGGUCAACAAGAAGACGCUGAGAAGUACUUAGGCUUCAUUCUAAACAGAUUGCAUGAGGAAAUGCUGAACCUAAAGAAGCUUCUCUCAUCAAAUAAUGAAAAACUUUCGAUCUCCAAUAGGCCCAGGAGCCACUUGCUGGACGAAUACUAGCAGGAGGAGCCUGGGGAGGGGAGCAAGGACGAGUGGGAGCAAGUGGGCCCCAGGAACAAGACCUCCAUCACCUGCCAGGUGGAUUUUGUUCCUACUCCAAUCACCAGCAUUUUUGGCGGACACAUCAGGUCUGUGGUUUACCAGCAGAGUUCAAAAGAAUCUGCCACUUUGCAACCAUUUAUCACGUUGCAGUUGGAUAUCCAGUCUGACAAAAUAUGUACAGUCCAGGAUGCAUUGGAAAGCUUGGCUGCACGAGAAUCUGUCCAAGGUUAUACCACAAAAACUAAACAGGAGAUUGAGAUAAGUCAAAGAGUGACUGGCAAGACUUCCUCCUGUUCUUGUGCUACACCUGAAACUGUUUAUAAGAAGACUGGUGGCUGUCAGAAGCUUAUCAAAAACAUUGAAUAUCCUGCAGACUUGGAAAUUAGCAAAAAACUUCUUUCUCCGGGAGUUAAAAAUAAUAAUUUUAAAUGCCACAGAACCUAUCAGCUAUUUGUAGUGGUCUACCAUCACAGCAACAGCUUGACAGGCGUUCAUUACACUACAGAUGUCUUCUAGAUGGGUCUGAACGGCUGGCUGCGCAUCGAUGACCAGACGGUCAAGCUGAUUAACCAGUAACAGGUGGUGAAACCCACUGCGGAACACACAGCCUACCUCCUGUAUUACCGCCGAGUGGACCUGCUGUGAACCCUCUGCUGUGUGUGCCCAGUCUGCUUGGUAAAACACCAGCUCUCACUAACUUCCCGCCUCUCUUUAGUGGCUCUGUAGAGAAAAUGGGCUAGAAUGAAAGGACAUGCCUUCGACUUCUUGCACAACAUAGUUUAUCUUUACUUCUAACUUCCAAAUCAAAAUCAUUUGGUUGAAACAGACUGUCGCUUGAUUUUAGAAAAUACACAAAACCCCAUAUUUCUGAAAUAAUGCUGAUUCCUUGAAUGAGAAAGGGAACUUGCAUUUUAUUCCCAGUUUAAUUGCUUAGAAGAAUAAACACUGCACCAGCAACAACACUUGUAAAUUUGUGAAAAUGAAUUUUAUCUUUCCUUAAAAAAGAAAAUUUUAAGGCCGGG